UAUGAUUCCACUGGUAUUAGAAUUAUUUUUAGCCUUUGUGGGUAAGAGUGCCGGCGACUCCAUAACCCCAGAGAGUCCAGUAUACUCUGCAAUAGAGGGAGACGAUCUAAAACUCUCCUGCAGGUAUGACGGGGCUGUUAGAAGUUUACAUUGGUAUCGCCAGUUCUCCAACUCAGUGCCACAGUUCCUGAUCCUGGACUAUCAAGGUCUUAAGAUUAAUGCAACUCCUCCUGUUCAUGGGAUAUCCAUAAAUCAUAACAAUACAGCAAAGCUGGUUUCUCUGCACCUCUCCUCUGCUAAGAUGACAGACUCUGCUCUCUACUACUGUGCCCUGGAGCCCACAGUGAUGGGAAAGCACAGAGACACCACACAAAAACUCUCGCAGCUUCAACAAAUGGCCCUGUGCUGCAAGUGGUUCUUGUGCAACAAAUAA